CUUUUAAUAUGAUAGAGAGAUGAAAGACAUAGAGAGAGAUCAACUUAAAUCAAUAAUCAAAAUAAACAAUUGCAUUAAUUCACUUAACCUCAGAAUCCAUAAUGAAAUUACAGCAGAAUAGCCCUAGGAGCUUAGAAACACAUAAUGAAAGAAAAGUGAAAGCAAUGGUGGAUGAAUGAAUGAAGCUCCCCUCUUCGGCCUCCCUGGGUCUCUUUAUAUAGGUUUGAUUGGGCUUGGACUUUGAAUAUUCAAUUGAUAGAAUCUUUUAUCUUAUAUCUUCCAAAUAACUAAAAGAUUUAGAUAAUUAUAAUAUUAUUUGGAAGAUA
rnacentral:lncRNA from 1 species